UCCGAAUUAGUAAAAUAUAUUAUAUCGCCUUGAUAUGGUGAAGUUCCUUUGUAGGGAUUCGGUA
rnacentral:tRNA from 1 species